AGUGAGGCUGGAGGAUUAUGAUAGCUGAAGCUUCCGAGUCCCUAGUGGGGAGCUGAAAGCAAUUUAAGAUUGUGGGAUAAACACAUUUCGUGGGCACUUCUGUCAAAACGAACAACAAUACAGACAUUUUAAAUGUCACCUGUAGAUUUCACAUUUUAUACAACUGAUCACUUGGGACAUUUCAUACUUCUUUUGGUUUCUGACUACAUCUAGAUUCAGUAGGACAAUGCUACAUCAGCAAGUAUCAUUUAUAAGGUUUUCUUUGCAACCACAGAUUUGCCUAGAUUCAGAAGAAAAGCCAGGUUAGAAUUACCUAACAUGUUAACAGCUCACUUUCCCCCUUGGUACAGGCUCAGAUGAAUACCUUUACUUUUAUUUUGUUAGUCAAAUUCAAUCCUAGGAUAAACUUUAUUAGGAAAAAUCAAAAGUAAAUGCUACUUGACUUUGUCGAAGUUAAGAGAAGCUUGGCUGGAAUGAGAUCACUUCAACACAUCUAAAAAUCGUUUCCAAGGCCAAACAUCUCAUCUGAUGACGCAACUGCCAAGCAAAUUGCUCUGACAGACAGGUGCCAGAGAGGCUGAUGCUGACGCUAGAAAAACAUAUCAAGAAGUUGGCACUGAAAGUGUUAACCGUGACGAAGGAAAUUAGGAAUGUGGGUAGUUUGACUACGGAUUUUUGGCUGCUGUUAAAACAACAGUUGUUCAGUUGCUGGAGCAACGUAUGAAGUCACUAAAAAUAAGUUCCAAGAGGUAACUGUAUAUGGCAAAGGGCAAUAGCAGACAGAAAAGCCGGAUCUGAACUAUUACUACUGAAAAUAUGCUGUACUUGAAAACAAAAGGCAAAACUUCAUGAAUCCUCUAUAAAACUGGACAGUGAAUUGGUGUUUUAACGCACACCGUUCAUAAGGUACUUCCACAACCUUACAAGGUAAACAAGAAAAUGUUAAACUGACUUUGGCUUAAUCAAUUAGCACAGGAAACUGCAGCGUAAUGUACUGAGCACUCGCCUGGAAGCCAGCAAACUCAGGUUCUGUUCCGGGUGUGACAAUAGCUUAAAGCUUCACUUCAGGCAAGUCAUUUUACUUCUCUUCCUCUAUGUCCUUUUCUAAUCUUAAUUAUUUAAGCCAUAAGCUCUUCAUGGUAAGAACUAUUUGUACUAUGCAUUUAAACAACCUGCAGAAUAGGGUAUCGGUCUCAGCUGCAUGAACUCUAAGUAUUCAGAGUAAUAUCAAAAAACAUUUCUCAAAGCACCAUUCUCUUAUAAAGAAACCGUGUCAGACGGUUCCUUUUCAGGAAGGAACCGUCCCUUCUGGGACCUUUCCAGAAAUCAGAUCCCAAAUGACAUACCCACACUGUCCUAAGGCUUAGUUUAAAUGUUGUCAGAAAAAAUUCCAACUGCAGCAUUAAUUCAUCUCAUUAUUAGAGUCAUUUAUCUAAUGUUAGCAGCUAUGGGCUAGUGGACCUGGAACCUUGCUGUGUGCUGCAUGAUAAUAGAAGUAACCAGAACUUGAAGGUCCCCAAAAGCAGGUGCAUGAGAUAAACUGGUUGGGAUGGGUAGAGAGAAGUUACCAAAACUGAAAGGAUGCAGUGCAAAUGUUACCACGGUCAUUCAUAUACAGCAGUAAUUUGUUCCGUCUCAGUUACAGAAACCUAAAACCUCAGAUGGGGCACUUAGCCAACAGCCUCUAACAAUUCAGCCUCUCUAUUUUGGGUAUGUGGGAAAGAAGUGGAACGGAGGAAGCACUUUUAGGGGGAAAGGCUGCUCCAGCACAUCUUUUUUCCAUCAUGGCAUGGGAGGACAAGAAGUGUGUGAAGGAAAGCAGGUAACUGCACAAUAAGUGCCUUGGAUGUAAAAACUGCUGAAUGUUCUCCAGGAAAGAAAAGAAAGACAGGAACGAUGACAUACUGGAUGGUACAAGUAUAAGCAGGAAAAAGUUUCCAGCAUCACAGAAGAAAACUGCGAGGUACUUGAUAAAUAUUUACUUCAGGACUGGAGAAAAAGGACUGCAAUGAAGGCUUCUACGAGCUGUUGCUAUACAAUUAAGCUGAUAUCCAGGUAUUCAUGAAGACCCCCAUUUUAUGGCAAAAGACAAAUCACAUGUGCAUGUCUGCAACAGCACUAUCAACUAUCCAAAAGACUUAUCCAGACUACAGCGGAGGUAACAUCUUGUAUUGCCACGUAGUAUGGCAAGCCGAACCACUGACCUUUAACAACUCUGAGGCAACAGUCCUAUUCAAGAACUGACACGAUGGAAAAUCCCAAGACGAGAAGGGAAGAAGAAAAGUGCCAGGCCCUGCUUUUAAAAGAAACAGGCUAAGAAGAAUGGACAGGGUGUUGCCAAGACCAGAGACUUGGCAAAAGGGGCAAAAGACAAAAAAAAGACAGGAUUUCUAUGGGACCAACCCCUAAAGGAUUCCAAAAGGUGGUAAGAACUCUGAUGCCAAGCAUGAAGUGACUCAGGUGUUUGUUGUCUCCCCAUCAAACAUACGAAUUUCUUAAACUGACACUAAAGCGCAUAUAUGCAUGCAUAUGUUAAGAAGAGUUUCACAGUCACAUGUCUUGCCACAGUCACAGAAAAAUCUAUAGAAUGAAUCUGUACACUGGACUAAACAAGGUAGUGGAGCUCUAAAAGACUCAGGAUGUUCAUCCCUAUCUUAAGACAUACGAACUUUAGUCCCUUUAGAUCUCUAAGGUCUAAAGUCUGAUUGAAGAAUCAGACUUUGAAAAGUUACCUAGAUGUCAUCCACUGGAUUUGGAAAGCACGUGGCAUCCAAAAGCCUGAGUUAAAUACAGUAUCCCGAUGAUUACCAUAAGGGGAUGCAGAACUCAGCCAGCUGUGUAAUAUUUCCAAAGGAAUUCAUUCCACCAGGGCAGACGUUGUAUAGACUGGAUGGCAGACGGCCACCCAUACAGCCCUCCAGUUACUGACAUUUAAACAUAA